rnacentral:rRNA from 1 species
UACGUAGGUGGCAAGCGUUGUCCGGAUUUACUGGGCGUAAAGAGCGCGCAGGCGGUCGUUCAAGUCGCGUGUGAAAGCCCCCGGCUCAACUGGGGAGGGUCACGCGAUACUGAUCGACUCGAAGGCAGGAGAGGGUAGUGGAAUUCCCGGUGUAGUGGUGAAAUGCGUAGAUAUCGGGAGGAACCACAGUGGCGAAGGCGGCUACCUGGGCUGUUUCUUGACGCUGAGGCGCGAAAGCUAGGGGAGCAAACGGG